GGAACUGCAGGACGAGAAGGCCGGGCUGCAGAAGGUCUGUGACGAGCAGGAGCAAGCUCUCCAGGAGAUGGGCUUGCACCUCAGCCAAUCCAAGCUGAAGAUGGAAGACAUAAAAGAAGUGAACCAGGCCCUGAAGGGGCACACGUGGCUGAGGGACAACGAAGCCACACACUGCAGGCAGUGUGAGAAGGAGUUCUCCAUUUCCCGGAGGAAG